CCUACGGGAGGCUGCAGUGGGGAAUAUUGGACAAUGGGCGAAAGCCUGAUCCAGCCAUGCCGCGUGUGUGAAGAAGGCCUUCGGGUUGUAAAGCACUUUCAGUGGGGAAGAAAGCCUUGGGGCUAAUACCCUCGAGGAAGGACAUCACCCACAGAAGAAGCACCGGCUAACUCCGUGCCAGCAGCCGCGGUAAUACGGAGGGUGCGAGCGUUAAUCGGAAUUACUGGGCGUAAAGCGCGCGUAGGCGGUCUGAUAAGCCGGUUGUGAAAGCCCCGGGCUCAACCUGGGAACGGCAUCCGGAACUGUCAGGCUAGAGUGCAGGAGAGGAAGGUAGAAUUCCCGGUGUAGCGGUGAAAUGCGUAGAGAUCGUGAGGAAUACCAGUGGCGAAGGCGGCCUUCUGGACUGACACUGACGCUGAGGUGCGAAAGCGUGGGUAGCAAACAGGAUUAGAUACCCUAGUAGUC
rnacentral:rRNA from 1 species